AAUAGGGCCUGAAAUCAGUUGGCGAUCGAGCGACAGGGCGUACAAGGCGAUUCUCAAAACGACCGAGGAGCGAUCCUCCAGUAGGAAGAGAAUCGAGCCGGCGUCGUGUCGUGCGUUUUGAAAAACGACCCAGGGAGUGUACUUACAUGGCGAGUCUAACCCGUGAACCGGGGAAGGCGCAGGGAAACCGAUACGGCCGCAGUCUUACGACGAGGGCCACCGUGUUCAAGCGCGGGGAGUCAUGUGGGUACGACCCGAAACCAGGCGAUCUAUGCGCGAGCAAGGUGAAGCGUGGCGAAAGCCACGUGGAGGCCUGUUAGAGUUGGUAUUCUACAAUAUCCUCUCGUGACUCGUGUAUAGGGGUGAAAGGCCCAUCGAGCCUGGCAACAGCUGGUUCCGACCGAAACAUGUCGAAGCAUGACCUCUUCCGAGAUAGCUCGCGGGGUAGAGCUACCGAUUGGAUGACCCGCCUCCGAGAGGAGUCGGCCAUCCUGUCGAACUCCAAACCCGCAAGCGUCGCAAACGAAGGGAGUCCGGUACGCGGGGUAAGCCUGUGUACCAUGAGGGGAACAACCCAGAGCCGGGUUAAGGUCCCAAAGUGUAGAUUAAGUGCGAUUCGAAGGUGGUCUCAAGCCCUAAACAGCCGGGAGGUGAGCUUAGAAGCAGCUACCCUCUAAGAAAAGCGUAACAGCUUACCGGCCGAGGUUUGAGGCGCCCAAAAUGAUCGGGGCUCAAAUCUACCACCGAGACCUGGCCGUACCCGUCACAGGGUAAUCGUGUAGGUCGGCGUACUGUUCGGAUGGAAGCCCGGGCGAGAGCUCGUGUGGACCGUUCAGUAACGACAAUCCUGGUCACAGUAGCAGCGAUAGUCGGGUGAGAACCUCGACGGCCUGAUGAGCAAGGGUUCCUCGGCACUGCCAAUCAGCCGAGGGUCAGCCGGUCCUAAGUCUGCCCGCAACUCGACGCAGACAACGGGAAACUGGUUAAUAUUCCAGUGCCAUCGUGCAAUAAACGUCAACGCCGUGUGGAACGCUGAGCCGGGCCUUCGCCCGGUCGAAUCAUGGAAACUCGUGGACGCCGUCACGGCACGAAGCGAGCGAAACGUGAGAUAGGGAAACUCAGCCGUACAUAGGGCCCGUGAAAAGACAAGCACGAUGUCCGUACCGAGAUCCGACACAGGUGCUCUGGCAGCGAAAGCCACGGCCUGUCGGGAGAACCGACGUUAGGGAAUUCGGCAAGUUAGUCCCGUACCUUCGGAAGAAGGGAUGCCUGCUCUCGACGGAGCAGGUCGCAGUGACUCGGGCGCUCCGACUGUCUAAUAACAACACAGGUGACCGCAAAUCCGCAAGGACUCGUACGGUCACUGAAUCCUGCCCAGUGCGGGUAUCUGAACACCUCGUACAAGAGGACGAAGGACCCGUCAACGGCGGGGGUAACUAUGACCCUCUUAAGGUAGCGUAGUACCUUGCCGCUUCAGUAGCGGCUUGCAUGAAUGGAUAAACGAGAGCGCCACUGUCCCAACGUUGGACCCGGUGAACUGUACGUUCCAGUGCGGAGUCUGGAGACCCCCAAGGGGAAGCGAAGACCCUAUAGAGCUUUACUGCAGGCUGUCGCUGAGACGUGGUCGCCGAUGUGCAGCAUAGGUAGGAGACAUUACACAGGUACCCGCGCUAGCGGGCCACCGAGUCAACAUUGAAAUACUACCCGUCGGUGACUGCGACUCUCACUCCGGGAGGAGUACACCGGUAGCCGGGCAGUUUGACUGGGGCGGUACGCGCUCGAAAAGAUAUCGAGCGCGCCCGAAGAUCAUCUCAGCCGGGUCGGGAAUCCGGCGAAGAGCGCAAGAGCACAAGAUGGUCUGACAGUGUCAUUCCCAACGAGUGACGCUGACGCGAAAGCGUGGUCUAGCGAACCUACGAGGCUCCGGAAUGGGGCCCGUAGAUGACAGAAAAGCUACCUUAGGGAUAACAGAGUCGUCACCCGCAAGAGCACAUAUCGACCGGGUGGCUUGCUACCUCGAUGUCGGUUCCCUCCAUCCUGCCCGUGCAGAAGCGGGCAAGGGUGAGGUUGUUCGCCUAUUAAAGGAGGUCGUGAGCUGGGUUUAGACCGUCGUGAGACAGGUCGGCUGCUAUCUAUUGGGGGUGUAAUGGUACUUGACGUGAACGAACGUAUAGUACGAGAGGAACUACGUUUGGUCGCCACUGGUGUA
rnacentral:rRNA from 1 species